GACGAACGCUGGCGGCGUGCUUAACACAUGCAAGUCGAACGGAAAGGCACUUCGGGGUACUCGAGUGGCGAACGGGUGAGUAACACGUGGGUGAUCUGCCCUGCACUUUGGGAUAAGCCUGGGAAACUGGGUCUAAUACCGAAUAGGACCACGCGCUUCAUGGUGUGUGGUGGAAAGCUUUUGCGGUGUGGGAUGGGCCCGCGGCCUAUCAGCUUGUUGGUGGGGUAAUGGCCUACCAAGGCGACGACGGGUAGCCGGCCUGAGAGGGUGACCGGCCACACUGGGACUGAGAUACGGCCCAGACUCCUACGGGAGGCAGCAGUGGGGAAUAUUGCACAAUGGGCGCAAGCCUGAUGCAGCGACGCCGCGUGAGGGAUGACGGCCUUCGGGUUGUAAACCUCUUUCACCAGGGACGAAGCGUAAGUGACGGUGCCUGGAGAAGAAGCACCGGCCAACUACGUG
rnacentral:rRNA from 1 species